rnacentral:rRNA from 1 species
GGUAUUUUGACUAUACAAAGGUAUUGAAAUAAGACUUUAAUUGAGUGCUAAGAGAAUGGAAUUUCAUAAAAUUUCUUUUUUAAUUUUAAAAAUUGAAAUUAAUUUUAUAUGUGAAGAAACAAUAAUAAAAAUUAAGGACAAGAAGACCCUAAGAAUUUUAAAGAUUUCAAUAAAAUACAAAAUUUUAUUGAAAUCUUUUAAUUGGGGCGAUUAUUAAAUAUUAAAAACUUUAAUUUUUUUAAAAAAGAACCAAUAAUAUUGGUUAUUUGAAAAAAUACUCUAGGGAUAACAGCGUAAUAAUUUUUGAUAGUUCUUAUAGACAAAAUAGUUUGCGACCUCGAUGUUGGAUUAGGAUUCUUUUUUAAUGAAGAAGUUAAAAAAAGAAGUUUGUUCAACUUUUAAAAUCCU